rfam:Streptomyces sp. NRRL F-6602 F6602contig4.1, whole genome shotgun sequence.
CGAGCCGGCCGGGCGGUCGCGUCGGGGGAGCACACACUCCCUCGCCGAGGAACGUCCGGGCUCCACAGGGCAGGAUGGUGGGUAACGCCCACCCGGGGUGACCCGCGGGACAGUGCCACAGAAAGCAAACCGCCGGGGCCGUAUCCGUACGGCUCCCGGUAAGGGUGAAACGGUGGUGUAAGAGACCACCAGCGCCCAGGGUGACCUGGGCGGCUCGGUAAACCCCAUCCGGAGCAAGGUCAAGAGGGAGCACUCCGGUGCUCCUGCGCGGACGACCGAGGGCGGCCCGCCCGAGUCCGCGGGUAGACCGCACGAGGCCGGCGGCAACGCCGGUCCUAGAUGGAUGACCGCCGCCCCGGGGCGCCGCAAGGCCCCCGAGGCACAGAACCCGGCGUACAGGCCGACUCGUCCG